GUGACGAAGCGACGCCGCGUGUGGGAAGAAGGCCUUCGGGUUGUAAACCACUGUCAGGAGUUAAGAAAUGUAAGGGUGCUAAUAGUAUCCUUACUUGACUAAGGCUCCAGAGGAAGCCACGGCUAACUCUGUGCCAGCAGCCGCGGUAAUACAGAGGUGGCAAGCGUUGUUCGGAAUUAUUGGGCGUAAAGAGCACGUAGGCGGUUCUGCAAGUCGGCUGUGAAAGCCUUCCGCUCAACGGAAGAACAGCAGUUGAUACUACAGGACUAGAGUGCGGGAGGGGAGAGUGGAACUUCUGGUGGAGCGGUGAAAUGCGUAGAUAUCAGAAAGAACGCCGGCGGCGAAAGCGACUCUCUGGCCCGUAACUGACGCUGAGUGUGCGAAAGCUAGGGGAGCAAACGGGAUUAGAUACCCCGGUAGUCCUAGCCGUAAACGAU
rnacentral:rRNA from 1 species